rnacentral:lncRNA from 1 species
AGUUGAAAGAGUUUUAAUCGCCCACUACCUCGCUAAAAGGAACCUAAUGGAUUGUACACCGUGUAAGGUGGAGAUUGAAGAAACAAUGGAGAUGAGUGAGAAUAAUUAAAAGGUUUAAUUAUUUAUGGCAAGGAUUAAUUAAUAUGUUAAUUAAUCAAACGAAUAAGUUCGUUAAAGACCUCGGGAUAGUUUUGGACCUUAAGGCCCAAUGGGCUUCGAACGUCAAUCCCAUUGACUUAAGUUGUAUAACAAUUUAAUGAAUAAAGAUUCACAAAGGCCUAAAAGCCCAAAUCCCUAAUGUGGCCGGCCAUAUGAGUUGAAUUAGGGUUUUUUGGUUCUUUAGGUCAUUUAUAGAAGUGACUAUAUAAAGAACUUUAUAGCCUAAAAUUCAUUAAGGGUUCUUUUGGAGAAAAUUGGUGAGAACUUGUCUCUCCUUUUCUCUCUAGGAGGCCGGCCCCCUUGGAUGGUGGAUCUAGCAAUCCCACUACUCCAAGGUCACUCAUUCCUUCUCCAAUCUCUCCUUGGUGUGGAGACUUAGAGGUUCUCAAUUUUGGGAACUUGGAGAAACUUUUUCAUCCAUCCAAAUCCAUAGAUUUUAGAUGCAAGGAAUGAAGGCCCUCUCUUUGGGUGAUUAGCCUUUGCUUAUGCAAAGAGGAAUCUACAAAGGUAUAAAUUUCAACUCACUUUGUUUUGAGUUGAUUCAUGGUUCACCAAUCUACUAGGCUUUGAAUUUCAUGGGUAAUGUUUUGUUUUUGAAUGCAUGCAAGCAUGAUUCCGCCCUUUAAUUGUUAAUUGCAUGCUAUAGAUGUUAUUCAAAUGAACAUGUUUUCACAAAAUAAUCCUUCACCAUCUUGGCUACAGUUGAUGAAGAAGGCCUUGACUUGUCUAGACUUGUCUAUAGUAGAGAUGAUAUGGUAGUGUUAACUGUUUAGAAUAUAAUGAUGCUUAAAACCCAAAAGGUUGCAAGGUAGUGACUAAUCCCAACUAAGUUGUGAUACCUCUAAAACAUAAGUUAUGAGUUGGUGAAAAAUGGAUGCUUUGGAUUGUUAGAUCCGGAUCCAAUACCUUCUCAUUAAAAUUGUAUAGAGGCGAAAUGUUCGAAUCUUUAUUCUUUUGGAAAGAAGAAAGAAUCACAAAGUUGUUGAGGUUAAUUCACUUAGAUAUUGGUGGCACUUGACCACAACAUAAUACUACUCAUGUUGGAUGACAUUCACCGAAGAUCGCUCCCAGUUGGACUAUAGUUUAUUUUGAAUAAACACAAGUCCGAAUACUUUGCAAAAGGUUUCAAAGAAUUCAAGAAAUGUAAGUUGAUGAGUAAGACAUCUAAAGUAUUUACCUCCUUAGAUUUGAUCCAAGGAAAAGUAACACUUUAGAUGAGUUUCCUUGAAAGAUAUCAAGGAAAGAAGCAUCAUAAGAUAAUAAAAUUCUCCAUUAAGGAGAAGAACAAACUCGAAUAAGAUUUAGUUCGUUAGAUGUUAUCUAUUACCCAUAUAUAGGAUAUAUACUUCUAAAAACAAUAUGAUUGUCAAUUAGAAGAUCUUCCAAAUUUUUCAUGACUCCAUAAGAUGUAGUUGGAAAGAAAGACAAAUCUUAAGCAUGUUAAGAUUUGGGGUUGUGUGCUAAUAAGCAAUAUUUGUUUUGAUAACAAUCUUGUGGGAUAUCCUUAAAUUAACUUUUGGAUAUCGCUUCUAUAAACCAACAAACAAAUGUUGUUUUGUUGGGUAGUUCAAUGUAAUCCUACAAUGAUUUGCCUAAGAGCUAAUGAACGAGAGAUAGAACUCAAAAGAUGGGUUCUUUGAGAGACAAGAAAGUAAUCAACAAAUAUAACAACCUAGUUCCUAUACCAAAGGCUCCAAGGUAGUCGAGAAGGAUUUAUAAACCGUCUCAGUUGAAUGGUUUGAACUUUAUGACUAUGUCAUAGAGUUACACCUCUUAAUUCGAAAGAAAUAAGAAUGAAAAUCCUUAUGACUACAUUGAGUGUAUAUAUGAUAUAUACUCAAGGAAAUGGUAAAGUACCAUUUGACCCGAAAUAAUGAAACCUUCAUAAGCUAAUUGGUAGCUUAAGGUGACUACAAUCAAAGAGAAUGGUUGACUUUGAAGAAACCAUCUUUGAGAUAGUCUAGGUUUCAAUUAAUUCGAAGAUUGCUAGCUACAACUAAAUUGUGAAUCAAUGUUUGGACAUUAUAUGGGUUUCCGAAACCAUUAUUAAGAUAGUCUUGAUAAUAUAUGUCUAAAACUAUAAAUCACAAGACAUGUAAGUUGUAGAGAUCCAUCCAUCAUGGAUCUUAGCAAGCUAGUGGGAGCUAUAAGCAUCUUAUGAGAAAAUGAUCAAAUCGUUUGAUUUCUCAUAAAGAUGUAAAUGAAUCUUUUGUUUACUAGGUUUACAAAAGAUUAGUGGGAGUUAAUAAUGUUCCUAAAAUUUAAAUAUAUAUAUGAUAUAUUAAUUUUGGAAAUGAAAAGAAUACUUCUUCGUUAAAGUUAUGACUUUAAAACAUUAUAUGAAGAUAGAAUGUAUAUGGGAGACAUAGUAUAUAUACAUGGGAUGGAAAUCUAUAUUGAUAGAUUUUAGGAUAUAAUUGGAUUAUAUCAAGCCCUAAAUAUAGACAAAAGAUGAUAGGAAGUUUCUCAUAUGAUGAUGAACUUCAAUCAAAUGGACAACUCUAGUAAGACUAAGGAGUUGCUCUUCUCAAAGAGAACGUACUCUUUGACUCCCAAAGAAAUAAUGCGUAAAUAGAAUCCUUUAUGCAUACGCAGAAAGGUGAUUUAUGUAUUUCAUAUUGUAUGAAAAACAUUGAUAUGAGUUGUACCUAGAAAGGUGCAAGACGAUAUCAGUGCAAGCCCAGGAUCAGAACCAUGGCAACUGUCAAGUGAGUACUUAAGUAUUUAAGAAAUACUAAAGGAUAAAUUCCUCAAAGAUCGAGGAAGAAUUAGAGUAACGUAAAGGAAGCGUAAAUGUAUUAGAUUAUGAAUCUAAUCCAUCAUUGGAUGUUUCUUCAUUAUGAAUGAAGAGAUAAUCAGAUAUCUCUUUAUUAUGACUAAAGAGAUAUUUGGAUGGAAACAUUAAAAGUAAUGACUUUAGUGUGUUCCAUUAUGAAUGCAAAAUAUAUUGCCAUAUAGAAGUUUACAACAAUGUUGUUUGGAUGGGAAAGUUCAUUUAUGAACUCUCUAUUCGGUUCCAACCAGAAAGUGUAUGACACUAAUGGGGCGAUAGCUCAAGCCAGGGAAUCAAGGUCUCAUCAAGGUCCGAACUCAAAUGAGAGACUGAACCACAUGAUUGAGAAUCAUGUAUAAUGGUGACGUCGUUGUUCUCAAGGUUGCUUCUAUGGAUAACAUAUAGAUAUCCAUUGUCUAGGCCUACUACUCAGCCAUUUAUGAAAUGACUACAGAAGAGGUAUCAUCACUGAUGAACAAGCUGAUUGGCUCUAGUGCAAGUGGGAGAUUGUUGGAAAUGUGCCCUAAAACCAAUCAUAUGAUGAUACUUUACGGACAUUUCACAUGUUAAACUAAUCUAGUUUAAUAUCAAGGGCAUAGAUUAUUGUUUUAAGCCGUCUCAUAUAAAUGUUAUAUGCUUAAACGAUAAGUCCAAGGAAUAUGUGAUUGGGAGAAUACGAUCUAAAGAAGUUAGAUUCAUGAGACCAUUCUUUCGUAGACACAUCCUAAACGUUCCUGAUCAUAGGAUUGCCAAUUGGGCAUUGACAGUCCGUGAAGAUCAGUACGUGCUGUGUCUUCUCUCAGGGAGAGUGACUAGUCUCGAGUCAUUGGUGUGUGUGACAUCAAGACAAGUACGUAGGUGCUCAAUAGAGAAUGAGUUCACUGAACACGAUCAACGAAGAGUUCUCAUAAUCAUGUCACAUGAGAACUCAUGGUUGGGAUUAUGCAAAGUAGUCAUUUAUCCUGAGGCAUCACAGCUGUCUUGUGGUUAAGUCCUUGAUCUUUGAUUAUGUCAAAGUCACCCCAUCCGCGAGUGUCCACGGCAUCGUUGGGGUUAAGCUACUUAGCCAUGGAGGCAAGUGAAUGCGCAACAAGGGAUCUCUAACCUUCAAUCCAUUUGAGGGAGAAUAUUAUAUGAUAUGAUUAAGAAUCUUUGGCCAAAGUAUGAAUGAGAUUUAGGAAGGCGUUCCAAAUCACAUUCAAGGUAAUCAUAUAAGCACACGAAUCACAUUGGAUAGUAGACAUGAAUAAACUAUCAAACCAAACAAUGUGGUCAAGAGUAUUGUAUUAGAGAAAGACCGUAUUGCAUUUGUAAUCCUAAACUGAAUAGGUUCUCCACCUCUUCUGAUUAGCUUGGGUAACCAUGAUAUGCUGCUAGGUGUCACUCAUGGUUUGUGGAAGCCCUAAACGUGUAUAAUCACUAAAGGGAGAAUUGAAAGUAAGUUUCAAUUCACAAUCGAUUUGAAAGAGUUUUAAUCCCCCACUGCCUCGCUAAAAGGAACCUAAUGGAUCGUACACCGUGUAAGGUGGAGAUUCAAGAAACAAUGGAGAUGAGUAAGAAUAAUUAAAAGGUUUAAUUAUUUAUGGCAAGGAUUAAUUAAUAUGUUAAUUAAUCAAACGAAUAAAUUCGUUAAAGACCUCGGGAUAGUUUUGGACCUUAAGGCCCAAUGGGCUUCGAACGUCAAGCCCAUUGACUUAAGUUGUAUGACAAUUUAAUGAAUAAAGAUUCACAAAGGCCUAAAAGCCCAAAUCCCUAAUGUAGCCGGCCAUAUGAGUUGAAUUAGGGUUUUUUGGUUCUUUAGGUCAUUUAUAGAAGUGACUAUAUAAAGAACUUUAUAGCCUAAAAUUCAUUAAGGGUUCUUUUGGAGAAAAUUGGUGAGAACUUGUCUCUCAUUUUCUCUCUAAGAGGCCGGCCCCCUUGGAGGGUGGAUCUAGCAAUCCCACUACUCCAAGGUCACUCAUUCCUUCUCCAAUCUCUCCUUGGUGUGGAGACUUAGAGGUUCUCAAUUUUGGGAACUUGGAGAAACUUUUUCAUCCAUCCAAAUCCAUAGAUUUUAGAUGCAAGGAAUGAAGGCCCUCUCUUUGGGUGAUUAGCCUUUG